AUGUGCAUGAUCAAAUUCCCCAAGUGGGCCAUUAAUUUGAUCAACUCCCAGAUGGCUCAUUGUUUUUGGGACAACUAUGAGGGGCACCAUAGGUAUCACCUUGCCAAUUGGGGGCUGGUAAAUCAGAAAAAGCAAUAUGGGGCCCUGGGGGUUCCAAAAAUUGCUGAGAUGAAUCUGAGCCUACUAGCAUCCUGGGUUUAUAAAUUUCAUACUGGUGGUAGUAAGAUUUGGAAACAGAUAAUUGACUCUAAAUAUAGAGCUAAUAAUCCUAAUAUUUUCUCUUGCCCUGAUAUUAACACAUCCCCUUUUUGGAAAGGGGUCCCGUGGGCUGCUAAAGCAGCUAAGCAUGGAUAUCAGUGGAAAGUGGGCAAUGGGAAGAGAGUCAAAUUUUGGGAGGAUCACUGGUUUGGGUCUUGUAGCCUGGCCAUCCAAUUCUGGGAAUUAUAUAUUAUAGCUAAUGAACAUAAUCAGACUGUGGCUGAUCUGUGGGAUGGGGUUAACCUUAAAAUCACAUUUAGGAGAUGUGUGGACAACAGGUUGCUUCUUCUUUGGUAUGACUUGUUAAGCAUUGUGCAAUCUACUGUUCUUAGUGAUGAAGAUGAUGCUUUAAUCUGGAAACUAGAAUCCAAUGGUAUCUAUUCAGUUAGAUCUAUGUAUGCCAUGGUCAAUUUUAGGGGCAUUAGCCAAGUUCAUGUACCUGAUAUGUGGAAAAUUUAUGUCCCUCCUAACAUCCAUAUCUUUUUGUGGUUGCUAGCUCAUAAUAAGAUGUUAGUGAGGGAUAAUCUCAGUAAGAGACAACAUUUAGAUGACUUGUCCUGCUUGUUCUGCUCUGAAGGUGAAAAUAUCAACCAUUUGUUCUUUGAGUGUGUUGUAGCUCUGGAAAUAUGGAGAAACAUUCACUCCAUCAUAGACUGCUUCCCUUUACCUAUGCUGAGUAGGGUAGCAGAAAUGUGGGGGCAAGAUAAAAAACUACAAGCUGAGAAUAUUGUCAUUUCAGCUGUUCUCUGGGCUAUCUGGAGGUGCAGUAAUGACAUGUGUUUUAAUAACACACAUGGAUGGGUGUGCAGGUGGUGCUGGGAAAAAUUGCAGGGUAUUGCGACUCCUGAAAGAUCCUCUGCAAAUUAA
rnacentral:rRNA from 1 species